UGGGGAAUAUUGCACAAUGGGCGCAAGCCUGAUGCAGCCAUGCCGCGUGUGUGAAGAAGGCCUUCGGGUUGUAAAGUACUUUCAGCGGGGAGGAAGGGAGUAAAGUUAAUACCUUUGCUCAUUGACGUUACCCGCAGAAGAAGCACCGGCUAACUCCGUGCCAGCAGCCGCGGUAAUACGGAGGGUGCAAGCGUUAAUCGGAAUUACUGGGCGUAAAGCGCACGCAGGCGGUUUGUUAAGUCAGAUGUGAAAUCCUCGGGCUCAACCUGGGAACUGCAUCUGAUACUGGCAAGCUUGGGUCUCGUAGAGGGGGGUAGAAUUCCAGGUGUAGCGGUGAAAUGCGUAGAGAUCUGGAGGAAUACCGGUGGCGAAGGCGGCCCCCUGGACGAAGACUGACGCUCAGGUGCGAAAGCGUGGGGAGCAAACAGG
rnacentral:rRNA from 1 species